UCUGGUUGAUCCUGCCAGUAGUGAUAUGCUUGUUUCAAAGAUUAAGCCAUGCAUGUCUAAGUAUAAGCGAACUUAUACAGUGAAACUGCGGAUGGCUCAUUAAAACAGUUUGAAUUUAUUUGAUGAAUGUAUGAGAAUACUACUUGGAUAACCGUAGUAAUUCUAGAGCUAAUACAUGCAACGACGCCCGACCGUUUCACUACGGAAGGGCUGUAUUUAUUGGAUACCAAAACCAUCCUUCCCUCGGGAAGUUUUGUUUGAUGAUUCACAAUAACUGAUCGGAUCGCCACUGUGGUGGCGACAGGUCAUUCAACAUUCUGCCCUAUCAGCUUUCGAUGGUUGUGUAGUGGACAACCAUGGCCAUAACGGGUAACGGAGAAUCAGGGUUCGAUUCCGGAGAAGGAGCUUGAGAAUUGGCUACUACAUCUAAGGAAGGCAGCAGGCGCGCAAAUUACCCAAUCCCGAUUCGGGGAGGUAGUGACAAAAAAUAACAAUACCGGGCCUUUUUGGGCUUGGUAAUUGGAAUGAGGGAGAGUUAAACGGACCAUCGAGUAUCCAUUGGAGGGCAAGUCUGGUGCCAGCAGCUGCGGUAAUACCAGCUCCAAUAGCGUAUAUUAAUGUUGUUGCAGUUAAAAAGCUCGUAGUUGGACUUGUGUGCGCUGUCCGCGGGUGGCCUGCGCCCAAAAGGGCGUUUCGGUUCGGCCCCGGUGGCGCCUUGAAAUCUGCAGCUGGGGGGACGUUGGCCUUAACUGGUCGGCGACCGCACGCCGGCUGCUCGGUUACUGUGAGAAAAUUAGAGUGUUCAAGGCAGGCAUUGGGUGCAAUUGAAUACAUUAGCAUGGAAUAAUAAAAUAUGGCUCCUGCCGUAUUUUGUUGGUUUUGACUGGUGGGAGUAAUGAUUGAUAGGGACGGUUGGGGGUGCUAGUAUUGAGCGGCCAGGGGUGAAAUUCAUGGAUUCGCUCAAGACUAACUUAUGCGAAAGCAUUCACCAAGGACGUCCUCUUUAAUCAAGAACGAAAGUUGGGGGAUCGAAGACGAUCAGAUACCGUCGUAGUCUCAACCAUAAACUAUGUCGACUUGGGAUCGGCGGUAGUUUUUUCAUUAAGACACUGUCGGGACCACGGGAGAAAUCAAAGUGUCUGGACUCUGGGGGAAGUAUGGUCGCAAGGCUGAAACUUGAAGGAAUUGACGGAAGGGCACCACCAGGAGUGGAGCCUGCGGC
rnacentral:rRNA from 1 species